AUAUGACACAGCUCCACGGUGGCCAGUCUGGCCGCCACCUUCGGCCGUGGGGCGAUGAC
rfam:Acidobacteria bacterium RIFCSPLOWO2_12_FTLL_66_21 rifcsplowo2_12_scaffold_430, whole genome shotgun sequence.